AGUGAACGCUGGCGGCGUGCCUAACACAUGCAAGUCGAACGAUGAAGAGUAGCUUGCUACUCGGAUUAGUGGCGCACGGGUGAGUAAUGCAUAGAUAAUGUGCCCCUUAGUUCGGGAUAGCCACUGGAAACGGUGAUUAAUACCGGAUACUCCUUCUCAUUAUAAGAUGAGUCGGGAAAGUUUUUUCGCUAAGGGAUCAGUCUAUGUUUCACCAGGUAGUUGGUGAGGUAAUGGCUCACCAAGCCUAUGACGGAUAUCUGGUUUGAGAGGAUGAUCAGACACACUGGAGCUGAGACACGGUCCAGACUCUACGGGAGGCAGCAGUGAGGAAUAUUGCACAAUGGAGGAAACUCUGAUGCAGCAACGCCGCGUGGAGGAUGACGCAUUUCGGUGUGUAAACUCCUUUUAUUAGGGAAGAUAAUGACGGUACCUAAUGAAUAAGCACCGGCUAACUCCGUGC
rnacentral:rRNA from 1 species